AUUGAACGCUGGCGGCAGGCUUAACACAUGCAAGUCGAGCGGGGUGAUGGUGCUUGCACUAUCACUUAGCGGCGGACGGGUGAGUAAUGCUUCGGAAUCUGCCUAUUAGUGGGGGACAACAUCUCGAAAGGGAUGCUAAUACCGCAUACGUCCUACGGGAGAAAGCAGGGGAUCACUUGUGACCUUGCGCUAAUAGAUGAGCCUAAGUCGGAUUAGCUAGUUGGUGGGGUAAAGGCCUACCAAGGCGACGAUCUGUAGCGGGUCUGAGAGGAUGAUCCGCCACACUGGGACUGAGACACGGCACAGACUCCUCCGGGAGGCAGCAGUGGGGAAUAUUGGACAAUGGGGGGAACCCUGAUCCAGCCAUGCCGCGUGUGUGAAGAAGGCCUUAUGGUUGUAAAGCACUUUAAGCGAGGAGGAGGCUCUUUUGGUUAAUACCCAAGAUGAGUGGACGUUACUCGCAGAAUAAGCACCGGCUAACUCUGUGCCAGCAGCCGCGGUAA
rnacentral:rRNA from 1 species